rnacentral:lncRNA from 1 species
AAAAGUUGUGUGAUACCUGAGGUCAGCAGUGCCACAGGGGGUGCCGCUUUAGCUGACCCAUGCUGUGCCAUCCCUAUUUUCCAGCCAGUGCCUGAAGAUGUCAAGUUCUGCCCUAAAAAACAAGCAGAGCUUUUCCAGGAGCCACUUACAAGCAAGCAGAAGUCCACGGAAGUCAGAGUGUGCUGGAGUCAACAAGGAGAAUUGGGGCCUGAUUGCAGAAAGUGUGCAAAACAUGGGAGGAACAUGAAAGAGGCUGUUUUGCCAGGAACAUUAAGCCAUUACUCUAUAUUGCUACAUGCACUAUUAAGAAGUCAUUCAGUCUGGAUGUUAGCAGGGCAAGACUGAUGCAGGAACAUGGGCUUCCUCAGUUCUUCAGAGAUACCGAGAAGUUUUUAAGGU